rnacentral:rRNA from 1 species
UGGGGAAUAUUGCACAAUGGGCGCAAGCCUGAUGCAGCCAUGCCGCGCGUGUGAAGAAGGCCUUCGGGUUGUAAAGCACUUUCAGCGAGGAGGAAGGGUGGUGUGUUAAUAGCACAUUGCAUUGACGUUACUCGCAGAAGAAGCACCGGCUAACUCCGUGCCAGCAGCCGCGGUAAUACGGAGGGUGCAAGCGUUAAUCGGAAUUACUGGGCGUAAAGCGCACGCAGGCGGUUUGUUAAGUCAGAUGUGAAAUCCCCGCGCUUAACGUGGGAACUGCAUUUGAAACUGGCAAGCUAGAGUCUUGUAGAGGGGGGUAGAAUUCCAGGUGUAGCGGUGAAAUGCGUAGAGAUCUGGAGGAAUACCGGUGGCGAAGGCGGCCCCCUGGACAAAGACUGACGCUCAGGUGCGAAAGCGUGGGGAGCAAACA